CAAUGGAGUGCUAUGGGGCUCAAUGCAGUGCUAUGGGGCUCAGUAUAGAGCUAUGGGGCUCAAUGGAGUGCUGUGGGGUUCAAUGUGUUGCAAUGGGGCUCCAUGCAGUGCUAUGGGGCUCCGUGCAGUCCUGCCCUAUGGGGAUCAGCGCAGUGCUAUGGGGCUCCAUGAAGUCAAGUCCUAUGGGGCUCAGUGCAGUGCUAUGGGGCUCCGUGCAGUCCUAUGGGGCUCAGCUCCAUCCUAUGGGACUCCAUGCAGUGCUAUGGGACUCCAUGCAGCCCUAUGGGGCUCAGCUCCGUCCCAUGGAGCUCAGCUCCGCCCCACGGCGCUCCAUGCAGCCCUAUGGCGCUCCGCUCCGCCCCACGGCGCUCCAUGCAGCCCUAUGGCGCUCCGCUCCGC
rnacentral:lncRNA from 1 species